UUUACUUCAAAAUUGCGGUCCGUUUUUAUAAAUUUGAGUCGUCGAGAGAACACGAAACGUCCAUCCUGGACCAUUUAAACAUCAGAUUCCGAUUUAGGUGUGUCCGUGUUUGUCCAAGGGAUUUAAACUUUAGACUACAAUUCGACAUUUGCAUUUCGGAAUUUGUGUGAUGAAUACUCAGUCAGCCGCCGCGGGCUCUUUUGUCAAGACGGAAUGAGGAGCGAUGACGCGCUGGAAAUUGGAUGUCACUUGGAGGUGUCACCGCAGUGUUUUUCCAGCCGACGGCUACGCCGAUGAGAACCAGACAAAUCAGCUUGAAACAAAUGAGAAAGUCCACGACAAAUGAUGGAAGGUGCACCGGAGGUCACGAUGUUGAUUAAACCGCACCGGAGACGACGGCCUGCCAACAUAAUCACCAAUAA